AACGCUAGCUACAGGCUUAACACAUGCAAGUCGAGGGGAAACGACAUCGAAAGCUUGCUUUUGAUGGGCGUCGACCGGCGCACGGGUGAGUAACGCGUAUCCAACCUGCCCACCACUUGGGGAUAACCUUGCGAAAGUAAGACUAAUACCCAAUGACGUCUCUAGAAGACAUCUGAAAGAGAUUAAAGAUUUAUCGGUGAUGGAUGGGGAUGCGUCUGAUUAGCUUGUUGGCGGGGUAACGGCCCACCAAGGCAACGAUCAGUAGGGGUUCUGAGAGGAAGGUCCCCCACAUUGGAACUGAGACACGGUCCAAACUCCUACGGGAGGCAGCAGUGAGGAAUAUUGGUCAAUGGGCGGAAGCCUGAACCAGCCAAGUAGCGUGAGGGAUGACUGCCCUAUGGGUUGUAAACCUCUUUUAUAGGGGAAUAAAAUACGGGACGUGUCCUGUUUUGCAUGUACCUUAUGAAUAAGGACCGGCUAAUUCCGUGCCAGCAGCCGCGGUAAUACGGAAGGUCCGGGCGUUAUCCGGAUUUAUUGGGUUUAAAGGGAGCGUAGGCGGUCUUAUAAGCGUGACGUGAAAUGCAGCGGCUCAACCGUAUGAUGUGCGUCGCGAACUGUGAGACUUGAGUGUAUUCGAUGUCAGCGGAAUUUGUGGUGUAGCGGUGAAAUGCUUAGAUAUCACGAAGAACUCCGAUUG
rnacentral:rRNA from 1 species